CCUACGUGUGGCAGCAGUGGGGAAUAUUGGACAAUGGGCGAAAGCCUGAUCUAGCCAUGCCGCGUGUGUGAAGAAGGCCUUCGGGUUGUAAAGCACUUUCAGUGGGGAAGAAAGCCUUGGGGCUAAUACCCUCGAGGAAGGACAUCACCCACAGAAGAAGCACCGGCUAACUCCGUGCCAGCAGCCGCGGUAAUACGGAGGGUGCGAGCGUUAAUCGGAAUUACUGGGCGUAAAGCGCGCGUAGGCGGUCUGAUAAGCCGGUUGUGAAAGCCCCGGGCUCAACCUGGGAACGGCAUCCGGAACUGUCAGGCUAGAGUGCAGGAGAGGAAGGUAGAAUUCCCGGUGUAGCGGUGAAAUGCGUAGAGAUCGGGAGGAAUACCAGUGGCGAAGGCGGCCUUCUGGACUGACACUGACGCUGAGGUGCGAAAGCGUGGGUAGCAAACAGGAUUAGAUACCCCGGUAGUC
rnacentral:rRNA from 1 species